GAUGAACGCUGGCGGCGUGCCUAAUACAUGCAAGUCGAGCGAAAAGAUAAUGAGCGCGCUCCUCUGCCGGUAGCGGCUGACGGGUGAGUGACAAAUAGAUAACAAACCUCUAAGACUGGGGUAACUUCGGGAAAACAGAGCUGAUAACGGCGAAUAUAUUCCACCGCUGGAAUCAUGGGUGAAUCGCGGUUUUGCCGUCACAUAUAGAUGGAGCCGCGCCGCAUUAGCUAGUUGGUAAGGUAACGGCUUACCAAGGCAACGAAGCGUAGCUGACCUGAGAGGGUGAUCGGCCACACUGGAACUGAGACACGGUCCAGACUCCUACGGGAGGCAGCAGUAGGGAAUCUUCGGCAAUGGGCGCAAGCCUGAUGGAGCAACGCCGCGUGAGUGAUGAAGGUCUUCGGAUCGUAAAGCUCUGUUAUUGGGGAAGAACAAAUGUGGAAGUAACUAUGCCCGUUCUGACGGUACCCAAUGAGAAAGCCACGGCUAACUUCGUG
rnacentral:rRNA from 1 species